rnacentral:rRNA from 1 species
GGAGUACGGUCGCAAGACUAAAACUCAAAGAAAUAGACGGGGGCUCACACAAGUGGUGGAACAUGUGGUUUAAUUCGAAACAACGCGCAUAACCUUACCAGUUCUUGACAUAGAAAUUCAACCCACGGUAUUAUCAUCGUGAAAUUUUUUUCUACAGGUGUUGCAUGGCUGUCGUCAGCUCGUGUUGUGAAAUGUUGGAUUAAUUUCCUUAACGAGCGAAACCCUUGAAAUCUUUUUUUAUCUACGUAAUCAUGUGGGUAUCAUGAUUUGACUGCCAGUGAGAGACUGGAGGAAGGAAAGGAUGACGUCAAGUCCUCAUGACCCUUAUGAGCUGGGCUACACACGUGUUACAAUGACAAGCACAAUCAGAUGCAAAAAUGAAAGUUGGAGCAAAUCUCGCAAAUCUUGUCGCAAUUCAGAUUGUUUUCUGCAAUUCGGAAACAUGAAGAUGGAAUCACUAGUAAUCGUGGAUCAGCACGCCACGGUGAAUCUGUACCUGAGCCUUGUACUCCCCGCCCGUCACACUCUGGAAGUUGACUCGAUUGGAAGUA